AUUGAACGCUGGCGGCAUGCUUUACACAUGCAAGUCGAACGGCAGCACGGACUUCGGUCUGGUGGCGAGUGGCGAACGGGUGAGUAAUACAUCGGAACGUGCCCAGUUGUGGGGGAUAACUACUCGAAAGAGUAGCUAAUACCGCAUGAGAACUGAGGUUGAAAGCAGGGGAUCGUAAGACCUUGCGCAACUGGAGCGGCCGAUGGCAGAUUAGGUAGUUGGUGGGAUAAAAGCUUACCAAGCCGACGAUCUGUAGCUGGUCUGAGAGGACGACCAGCCACACUGGGACUGAGACACGGCCCAGACUCCUACGGGAGGCAGCAGUGGGGAAUUUUGGACAAUGGGCGAAAGCCUGAUCCAGCAAUGCCGCGUGCAGGAUGAAGGCCUUCGGGUUGUAAACUGCUUUUGUACGGAACGAAAAGCUUCGGGCUAAUACCCUGGAGUCAUGACGGUACCGUAAGAAUAAGCACCGGCUAACUACGUGCCAGCCGCCGGGGUAAGAC
rnacentral:rRNA from 1 species